GACCAGACUCCUACGGGAGGCAGCAGUGAGGAAUAUUGGUCAAUGGGCGAGAGCCUGAACCAGCCAAGUCGCGUGAGGGAAGACGGUCCUAUGGAUUGUAAACCUCUUUUGUCGGGGAGCAAAAAGGCCUCGUGAGGCCACAAGUGAGAGUACCCGAAGAAAAAGCAUCGGCUAACUCCGUGCCAGCAGCCGCGGUAAUACGGAGGAUGCGAGCGUUAUUCGGAUUUAUUGGGUUUAAAGGGUGCGCAGGCGGAGGUGUAAGUCAGCGGUCAAAUUGCGGGGCUCAACCCCGUCCUGCCGUUGAAACUGCAUCCCUUGAGUGCGCGAGAAGUAUGCGGAAUGCGUGGUGUAGCGGUGAAGUGCAUAGAUAUCACGCAGAACUCCGAUUGCGAAGGCAGCAUACCGGCGCCCAACUGACGCUGAAGCACGAAAGCGUGGGUAUCGAACAGGAUUAGAUACCCUUGUA
rnacentral:rRNA from 1 species